GUUAGGAAUAUUGGACAAUGGGCGCAAGCCUGAUCCAGCCAUGCCGCGUGUGUGAAGAAGGUCUUCGGAUUGUAAAGCACUUUAAGUUGGGAGGAAGGGCAGUAAGUUAAUACCUUGCUGUUUUGACGUUACCGACAGAAUAAGCACCGGCUAACUUCGUGCCAGCAGCCGCGGUAAUACGAAGGGUGCAAGCGUUAAUCGGAAUUACUGGGCGUAAAGCGCGCGUAGGUGGUUUUGUAAGUUGGAGGUGAAAUCCCCGGGCUCAACCUGGGAACUGCCUCCAAAACUGCAUGACUAGAGUACGGUAGAGGGUAGUGGAAUUUCCUGUGUAGCGGUGAAAUGCGUAGAUAUAGGAAGGAACACCAGUGGCGAAGGCGACUACCUGGACUGAUACUGACACUGAGGUGCGAAAGCGUGGGGAGCAAACAGGAUUAGAUACCCGAGUAGCC
rnacentral:rRNA from 1 species